ensembl:lncRNA
GUAUAUGUUGUUGCUCAAGCGAAGAAGACGCUGUAAAUGGUGCAAACGACUUACUUGGUCUGCCUGCUACAGUUUAAUAGAUACUGACAAGACCUGAGUUAUCUGGACCAGAGACAAAGGACUUUUCUGUGAACAGCGCAGCAGGCGGGACUAUUUACAAAGAUUUGUUCAAGGAGCAUAGAAACCACUUGAGAUGGUGCAGUAAUAGCAAAGAGGAGGAUGCAGUUACUGGAACACAAAGGUGGGGAGGCUGUAUGGAAGGAAUGGGUCAUCUAAAAAGAGCUAUGAGGUUGAAUGGACUGUGUGGCCAUCUAUAUCAAUAACGAAGGGACUUACACGCAAAUGAUAGGAUCAGCGGUGCCAUAGCCUGGUCAUGCUACACAGAAACAGUCUUCUCAAGAAUCAGUUUUUAAAAAUCAGCAGAAGGAAAGAUGCUGACCCUCUCCAAUUCUUUUCCACUUGAAUUUUCAGCUACACUGUCACCAGCAUUUUUUUUUUUUUACAGCUAAUACAGUAGGACAGGUGUCCUGAAAUAAGUGCCUGUCUUUGGAAAGAGCAAAUGGGUGACAAUAUCUAGAUCUGAAGUUUACAGCAACACUGAACUGACCAUACUGGUUAUCCUCAGGGAGCCCAGAACUACGUGACAUAUAUUUUCUGAAAAGAGGCUGAAAUCAAGCAGAGUGAGAGCAAAAUUUGCAACUGAAGACUAGUUAAAAUUUUAUGCAAAAAUAUAUAAUACCGAAAUGAGGCAUGGUGGUUUGGUUUUCUUUACAAUUAUAGUUAACCCUUAAAAUCUCUAAUAAAGAAAUAUCAUGCUAUAUUAC